rnacentral:lncRNA from 1 species
GAAAUAAUUUACAAAAAAAUAUAGCUAUAUAGUUUGUCGCCACGCACAUGCUAUAAGUGAAGUUAAAUUAAUGUAUCUCUUAUUAAUCUGGGACAAAAACAUUUUUUCCCAAAAAGUUAAGGCUGAGACAUAGGUGUCUAGUUUGUCCCUCUAUCGAACUUUAACCUCUCGAACUCCCUCCUUCCAUUGGACAAAGUGCAGAAAAAAGAAAAUACAACUUUCUGCAUCAAUUGUAAUUAGAUAGCUUACAGCUAGACAUUUUUACUUCAUGACAAGCCGUUGGUGUCGACCCUUUCUGCUAAAACUAAUGCAUCAUUAUAUCUCUCACCAAAAUUGCAUUAUUUGAAUUGGCUACUACUGUGUAUUGUAAGUGGUAACGAAUAUGACUUCUGUCAAAAUUCUGUGAAGAUCUACAAUGAAUGUUGUUUACCCAGCAGGUGGAUAUGACGUCACGGAUUUGGAACAUCAGAAAAUAACAUCCAAAUUCGCGAUAAUUUUUUCUUUCCAUGCGAAUUAAAAUGUAAUAACAUUAGAAAGAGCUCGCUCUCUUAUUCGAGACAGAACGUGGCGUGAAGUCUAGAUUAUUUUAACGGUAACAGCGCUCUCCGUGAAUGCAGCAGAGAUGUAUCCUCGCAGUUAAAGUUAGUCCCCCAAGCGGAGUAAUGUUGGUAGUAUUUACAGUGUGAAUAUUGCAUGCUUACUUGGUAUACAAGAUCGAGUGUACAUUUCAUUAUCUCUAGCACAGAAUUGUCUACUGCGUGCACCUACCAUUGUCGAUUGGUGUAAUCUGUGAACUCCUGAUGGUCCCGCCUCUGAAGACCCUGAGCUGAAUUUUCAUUGGAAGAAUGGAACGCCAGUCUUUCCUACACAAGUGAACACGCCUGGAGACUCCAGUGGUGACCCCCUGUGGAGACAGAGAUCAAAACCAGCAUCCAUUUCCAGGAGGAAUGUUCAAACAAGACCACCACCCAUUUUAGGAGGAAUGUUCAAACAAGACCACCACCCAUUUUAGGAGGAAUGUUCAAACAAGACCACACCAAUUUUAGGAGGCAUGUUCAAACAAGCCCACC